CCUACGGGUGGCAGCAGUAGGGAAUAUUGCUCAAUGGGGGAAACCCUGAAGCAGCAACGCCGCGUGGAGGAUGAAGGUUUUCGGAUUGUAAACCCCUUUUGUUAGAGAAGAUAAUGACGGUAUCUAACGAAUAAGCACCGGCUAACUCCGUGCCAGCAGCCGCGGUAAUAAGGGGGGGGCAAGCGUUACUCGGAAUGACUGGGCGGAAAGAGGGCGUAGGCGGGAUAGCAAGUCAGAUGUGAAAUCCUAUGGCUUAACCAUAGAACUGCAUUUGAAACUGUUUGUCUAGAGUAUGGGAGAGGUAGGUGGAAUGAUUGGUGUAGGGGUAAAAUGCGUAGAGAUCAAGAGGAAUACUCAUUGCGAAGGCGACCUGCUAGAACAUAACUGACGCUGAGGCGCGAAAGCGUGGGGAGCAAACAGGAUUAGAUACCCGUGUAGUC
rnacentral:rRNA from 1 species